rnacentral:rRNA from 1 species
GUAGGUGGCAAGCGUUGUCCGGAAUUAUUGGGCGUAAAGCGCGCGCAGGCGGUUCUUUAAGUCUGAUGUGAAAGCCCACGGCUCAACCGUGGAGGGUCAUUGGAAACUGGAGAACUUGAGUACAGGAGAGGAAAGCGGAAUUCCACGUGUAGCGGUGAAAUGCGUAGAGAUGUGGAGGAACACCAGUGGCGAAGGCGGCUUUCUGGUCUGUAACUGACGCUGAGGCGCGAAAGCGUGGGGAGCAAACAGGGAUUAGAUACCCUGGUAGUCCACGCCGUAAACGAUGAGUGCUAAGUGUUAGGGGGUUUCCGCCCCCUUAGUGCUGCAGCUAACGCAUUAAGCACUCCGCCUGGGGAUACGGCCGCAAGGCUG